AUUGAACGCUGGCGGCAUGCCUAACACAUGCAUGUCGAACGAACUCUUCGGAGUUAGUGGCGGACGGGUGAGUAACACGUGGGAACGUGCCUUUAGGUUCGGAAUAACUCAGGGAAACUUGUGCUAAUACCGAAUGUGCCCUUCGGGGGAAAGAUUUAUCGCCUUUAGAGCGGCCCGCGUCUGAUUAGCUAGUUGGUGAGGUAAAGGCUCACCAAGGCGACGAUCAGUAGCUGGUCUGAGAGGAUGAUCAGCCACAUUGGGACUGAGACACGGCCCAAACUCCUACGGGAGGCAGCAGUGGGGAAUUUUGCGCAAUGGGCGAAAGCCUGACGCAGCCAUGCCGCGUGAAUGAUGAAGGUCUUAGGAUUGUAAAAUUCUUUCACCGGGGACGAUAAUGACGGUACCCGGAGAAGAAGCCCCGGCUAACUUCGUGCCAGCCGCCGCAGUAA
rnacentral:rRNA from 1 species